rnacentral:ncRNA from 1 species
UAUGAUAGAGGCGCAGGAUUCAACAGUAGAUCCGACCGGGAGAACAAAGGAGUUCUCAGUUUUUUGGCGAACAGGCCGGGAAGAAAGGGGAGACUGCCGAAGGGCUUUUUUCAGCCAUAGGAAGAAGGCUCUGGGGUGCCGCAGAAUAUGCGGCAGACUGUCACUUGUUGUGGAGCGCUAUCUU